AACGUAGGAGACAAACGUUAUCCGGAGUUACUGGGCGUAAAGGGCGUGUAGGUGGUAGUGUAAGUCUGGCGUGAAAUUUUUCGGCUUAACCGGGAAAGGUCGUCGGAUACUGCACAACUAGAGGACGGUAGAGGCGUGUGGAAUUCCGGGUGUAGUGGUGAAAUGCGUAGAGAUCCGGAGGAACACCAGUGGCGAAGGCGACACGCUGGGCCGUACCUGACACUGAUGCGCGCCAGCAUGGGGAGCAAACAGG
rnacentral:rRNA from 1 species